rnacentral:rRNA from 1 species
GGUUAAGCGACUAAGCGUACACGGUGGAUGCCCUGGCAGUCAGAGGCGAUGAAGGACGUGCUAAUCUGCGAAAAGCGCCGGCGAGGUGAUAUGAACCUUUGACCCGGCGAUGUCCGAAUGGGGAAACCCAGUGCAAUCCGUUGCACUAUCGUUAACUGAAUACAUAGGUUAACGAGGCGAACCGGGGGAACUGAAACAUCUAAGUACCCCGAGGAAAAGAAAUCAACCGAGAUUCCCCCAGUAGCGGCGAGCGAACGGGGAGCAGCCCGGAGUCUGAAUCAGCUUGUGUGUUAGUGGAACGGUCUGGAAAGUCCGACGGUACAGGGUGAUAGUCCCGUACACGAAAGCACACUUGCUGUGAACUCGAAGAGUAGGGCGGGACACGUGGUAUCCUGUCUGAAUAUGGGGGGACCAUCCUCCAAGGCUAAAUACUCCUGACUGACCGAUAGUGAACCAGUACCGUGAGGGAAAGGCGAAAAGAACCCCGGCGAGGGGAGUGAAAAAGAACCUGAAACCGUGUACGUACAAGCAGUGGGAGCCUCUUUAUGGGGUGACUGCGUACCUUUUGUAUAAUGGGUCAGCGACUUAUAUUCUGUAGCAAGGUUAACCGUAUAGGGGAGCCGAAGGGAAACCGAGUCUUAACUGGGCGUUAAGUUGCAGGGUAUAGACCCGAAACCCGGUGAUCUAGCCAUGGGCAGGUUGAAGGUUGGGUAACACUAACUGGAGGACCGAACCGACUAAUGUUGAAAAAUUAGCGGAUGACCUGUGGCUGGGGGUGAAAGGCCAAUCAAACCGGGAGAUAGCUGGUUCUCCCCGAAAGCUAUUUAGGUAGCGCCUCGUGAACUCAUCUUCGGGGGUAGAGCACUGUUUCGGCUAGGGGGCCAUCCCGGCUUACCAACCCGAUGCAAACUACGAAUACCGAAGAAUGUUAUCACGGGAGACACACGGCGGGUGCUAACGUCCGUCGUGAAGAGGGAAACAACCCAGACCGCCAGCUAAGGUCCCAAAGUCAUGGUUAAGUGGGAAACGAUGUGGGAAGGCACAGACAGCCAGGAUGUUGGCUUAGAAGCAGCCAUCAUUUAAAGAAAGCGUAAUAGCUCACUGGUCGAGUCGGCCUGCGCGGAAGAUGUAACGGGGCUAAACCAUGCACCGAAGCUGCGGCAGCGACGCUUAGGCGUUGUUGGGUAGGGGAGCGUUCUGUAAGCCGUUGAAGGUGUCCUGUGAGGGGUGCUGGAGGUAUCAGAAGUGCGAAUGCUGACAUAAGUAACGAUAAAGCGGGUGAAAAGCCCGCUCGCCGGAAGACCAAGGGUUCCUGUCCAACGUUAAUCGGGGCAGGGUGAGUCGACCCCUAAGGCGAGGCCGAAAGGCGUAGUCGAUGGGAAACAGGUUAAUAUUCCUGUACUUGGUGUUACUGCGAAGGGGGGACGGAGAAGGCUAUGUCAGCCGGGCGACGGUUGUCCCGGUUUAAGCAUGUAGGCGGAGGUUCCAGGUAAAUCCGGUACCUUAUUAACGCUGAGGUGUGAUGACGAGGCACUACGGUGCUGAAGUGAUAAAUGCCCUGCUUCCAGGAAAAGCCUCUAAGCAUCAGGUAACACGAAAUCGUACCCCAAACCGACACAGGUGGUCAGGUAGAGAAUACCAAGGCGCUUGAGAGAACUCGGGUGAAGGAACUAGGCAAAAUGGUGCCGUAACUUCGGGAGAAGGCACGCUGAUAUGUAGGUGAAGUCCCUGCGGACGGAGCUGAAAUCAGUCGAAGAUACCAGCUGGCUGCAACUGUUUAUUAAAAACACAGCACUGUGCAAACACGAAAGUGGACGUAUACGGUGUGACGCCUGCCCGGUGCCGGAAGGUUAAUUGAUGGGGUUAGCGGCAACGCGAAGCUCUUGAUCGAAGCCCCGGUAAACGGCGGCCGUAACUAUAACGGUCCUAAGGUAGCGAAAUUCCUUGUCGGGUAAGUUCCGACCUGCACGAAUGGCGUAAUGAUGGCCAGGCUGUCUCCACCCGAGACUCAGUGAAAUUGAACUCGCUGUGAAGAUGCAGUGUACCCGCGGCAAGACGGAAAGACCCCGUGAACCUUUACUAUAGCUUGACACUGAACACUGGUCCUUGAUGUGUAGGAUAGGUGGGAGGCUUUGAAGCGUGGACGCCAGUCUGCGUGGAGCCAACCUUGAAAUACCACCCUUUAAUGGCUGGUGUUCUAACGUAGACCCGU